rnacentral:lncRNA from 1 species
CAGGGGAAACAACCAAAUGAAAAACCAACCCUUACCUCUCUCUCACAGUCUCACUAUCGUCUCCUUCCCCCCUCCUAAGUUUUCGCCUCUCGCUCUCUAGGGUUUACUCUGCACCUCUACCAGCCUCACACAAUUCUUCAACUCCCAUGAUUUCCUAUUCUCCUCGAUUCAGCUCCUCAGAUCGGCUAGGAAAUUGCUUGAAGAGGUGGAAAUUCCUGUAAAAAUUUCUCAUAUUUUCGUUUGCAUUUCUUCCAUUUUUUAUCUGUAAUUUUUUCUGCACCGAAUCUGUAAAUACAUGUAUAUUUAUGUUGUGUAUAUGUAUUAUUAUGAAAGGAAAGGUUUUGCCAUUGAUCAAACCAAUCUCUACCAGAAAUUGGGCCUUCUGACCUUCAUAAACCUCUCCACCAAUUUCUACAACAGGUUUCUUAAUUGCUCUUUUCUUUUUCGAUUAAAUAUUGAAAUUUGGUAUUUGAAUUAGUCAGUGCUUCAAAAUAUGUAUCCUGUGCAUUUUUUAAUGAGAUUUUGAAGAGCAGUAUUUAAAUUACAUUUUACCUCUCAGUUUCAGCGAAAACAUUGUUAGGAAAUUAUAGGCAUAUAAUCCAUUUAUUUAUGAAUUUGCGACUUUUGAUUUGAUAACAAUCUGAAUAACUACUGGGUUUUUUUAAAAUCCUUUUUCUUUGACUUUUAGUCGUAAGAAAUAAUUUGUUUUGGGUAAAUAAUUUCGACGACUAUUUUUCCCAUAUUUAUCAUAACGUAAUAGAGUCUUAUACUUAUGUUUAGCUCUAUAUUCUCCCUGUUUCAAUUCGGUAAAUCUAAUUCGUAAACGAUGAUUUUGUCCGUAUUCUAUGAUUUGUUGGAUCGUUUGUUGUUGAUGCUUAUGUGUGUAUAGAUGUUGAUGCUUAUAAUUAUGGGUACAUGUGCUAGGUAUGAUUUUGAGCAAUUGGUGGUAUGUGACUAUAAUUAAAUAUAUUAAUAUGUCCUCAAGUCGCCUACGGAAGGUCUUAUAUGUUUAAUGGUAAUUUGAUGUACAUGAAUAUAGUUUCAACAUGGAUGGUCACAGAGUUAGGAAUAAGGAACCAAUGUCAUGGAUGAUUCCAUUGAUGAAGAAUAUUCCAUUGAUGAAUUAGCAACAUUUGUCAAUUAAGCAAUUUAUUUAUUUAGUUCCGCAUUUGAUACAGUCGGAGUGGGAACCAACUUUGUUAAAUAAGCAAUUUAUUUAUUUAGUUCUUUUCAUCAACUUGAGUUGUUCUUAACUUGCAAUAGCUGGAAAAUUUGAGGGUGGUGAGUUGGAAUAAUGCUUGCUAAUAUGGUUAAACUUUCUGCACAGGAUUUUGCCAUGUUCUUGCGAUUAUGAGUUGCACCCUUAAUAAAUAUCACAACAAUUUGGUCCAAGAAUGGCGUUAUUUUUUUGGUGAAUUCCUGGAUUUUGUUAUGGUUUUCUGUGAUUUUUCUUUAUUUUUUUUGUUUUUGAUAAAUUAGGCUUAUCUUUAUUUCGAGAUUUAACUCUCUGCCUAUUAUGUUAUUGCAGGAAACCAGUAGCUGUGGAAAUUAAAUGGAACUUAUAAUUUGGGAUUUAGUUGAUUCGGAAAUACGGAAAUUGAAUUGAACUUUGAUUUUUGAGCUUUAGGUCUUUUGCAUGUUUAAAUUUUGAAAAGUAGCUUAUUGUUGUAAGUUAUUCAUUAUAAGAAGAAGAAAAAAUGAUGGUUGUAUGUAUGUGAUUUAUUGGAUUUGUGUUGAUUGAAUCGAUUAGCAGCAACUACAACAAGAAAUUGGUGGAUUGAAUGUGUAAUGGACUGGAUUUUCUGAAUCUUGUGCAAAGAGAGAGAAAAUUAUCGUUUUUGUGGUGUUGGGUCAGGAAUCAAUGUUGUCUGAGAGUGGUGACCAUCAGAUGGUCCCAUUAGCAGUGUUGUUUAAAGCAGGAAUUGGCUAAUGAGAAGCUCGAGAAUCCUGAGAUUUUGCACGGGUAUGAUCAUAUCGCUCUUCUCUUUGUUUAUCAUUCUAUUUUUCAUUGUAGCUUGCUAUUUGUAGUUGUGGACCUUCACUUUUUCCUGGAUUUUAGCAUCUUAUAUCAAGUUAGUCGUGUUCAGACUGGAUGCUAUUAUCAACUGUCUUGAUAUAACAAUAAUUUUAGUAUUGAUGUUGAGGAUUGAGAAGUUUUUUGAAUUAUUCAUUUGUUGCUAAAAGCUCUUAUCAGAUACACUUGGGAACAUUAUUUCAAACCAAAGGCAGUGUCUAGCUUUAACCCCAUAAAGCUGUUUAGUAAGUACCAUCUUCAGAAAAUGGAAAUUCCAAACUUCAUUAUGUUACUUAGACAUGUAAAAGAAUACAAGCUUACUGUGUCCGCAUUCUACUAUUUUCAGCAGCCCUCACUUGGGUAAAGUAUGGACGAGCCUGGGAUACGAUCAAGAGUGCUUUAGAAAUUUUUAUUAAGCCAGAUAAUAGAUAAAAAAUGUGAAUUUAUUCAGCUACAGCAGAAAUGUGAAGAAGAGAUGCUUAACAGUAUUUUAAACAACUGUUUGUAAAAAAUUUUAUCUUCAAGAGUGUAAUGCCAAAACCUAGUGCAAUGUAAGAGUGUAAUGCCAAAACCUAGUGCAAUGUAAGUGUAUAAUCCAUUUUAAUCCAAGAAUGAAAAGCCCAAAGCGGAAAUUUGAAUAAACAACCAAGAGAAAGAGAGACCAAAUGCAAGAUUGGCUUCACUUACUUGAUCUCCGAUUAUUCUUUGAAUAUGAAAUUAUUGGAUGCUAUUAUGAAAAUGCAAUCUUUACUUUUUUGGGCGGCCCUUGAUCCCUGCAUCUGUUUUUUUGUUCUCAGAGAUUCAACUUUGAAUAAUUUGCUGCAAUUUCCAUGUGUUUGAAAAUUCUGAUCCAUGGUUAUCUUCAUCACUAAUUGACUCAACGUUUUAGGUGUGAAUCUGGUGCUCUCUUAAUUAGAAUUUCACGUCGAAUUGCUCAAUACAGCUUUGAUGUUUCUCGUUUCACUUAGUUGUUGGUAGUUCCUUCUUCUUUUUCCUUGAGUUGAACCCAUGAAUAAUCUUUGGCCAUUGUAACAUGUUGCUCCUGAUACAGUGAAAUGCUGAGCUCUCAUGUGAGACAAAUAGAUGAGAUUCUUGCACUUCCUCAUUCAGCUGAUGAUUUCAAGGGUCGGAUAAGAGACAAAAGGAGAUGAAACUUUAUGAUUUGAAGCAUAAGAAGAAACGGAUGUUAUUUUUUUUUAUAUAUGAUACAUGAUUGUGAGUAUAAGACUACAUACAUUGGUGAUGUGCAAUUCAAUAUAGAAGGGAUUGUUUCACAUUUGUACAUACAAAUGUAUUAUUUGCCUCAAAAUGAUUGUAGCCUUUUGAAGUAAUUUGUACGCUUGAAAUUUCAAUUAAGACAAGUUUUACAUUUCACAAACAUAUUUCAUAUUAUUGAAUUUCGACUUAUGUUAGUGGUGGAAAUGAAAAAUAAUUACAAAUGAAAAUG